AGUAGUUAUACUGAUUGGAUUAGCACCUAUGCAUUUGAAUGACACUGUUAUGCUGAUGAGAUCAAGGCUGGGAAAAUGCCGGUGUCGGGCUGAUUGCCUGUACUUCAUUUGCAUGCUAUGGGUUAGAUUGUCUCCACCUCUACUGAAUGUAUCCCUCCCCCUUAAAAUGUAUAUAAACUACAAUGUAUCACUGCCUUAGUUAGACUUUUGAUGACUGCAGCGCCACGCAGAGCGUUCUCAAUAAAGAACUCUGCUGAAGAUACCCAAGAGUCUCCUGGUCUCUGCUUCGAUGAGGAAAAAGUUUCCUACAGUUUUGGUGCCGUGACCCGGAUAGAGCUCCUCACCUGAAUCCAGAUCGAAACUUCAAGCUCAACAAAGAUCUGACUUCGUUCCAGACUGGAUCUUUCUGUACAACCAAGGGUUGAUACCACUUGAUGGCUGUCCCGAGACCCAUACGCACUGAUCUCCUCACCUGCGUAUGAAGCCACAACCUCUAAAAGACAACUAGACCCACUACCGAGCCAACUGUCACGGAAG